CACACCUGUGUGAUUGGCAGCAGGUGAGGAAGAAACCCACAGAGGGCGGGGAGAGAGGCUACGAACAGGGCAGGUCCCCCGGUCUGGAGCUGUCCAAGGAGCCGGCCAAAUGCUGCGGGAGGUGGCGAAACGUCUGCGCACUUUGUCGUCGUAACGGCGGUUAACUGGUCCGGAAGUUAGCGCCUGUGUCCGCGGCGGUGGGGUCGGUUUGUUACGCUUGGUAGCCGCUAAGCUACCGCGAAAAACGGCGAUGCUAAGUGCUUAGCGCGGCUGCUAGCACCGCAGUGUGACUGACGUUAGGAGGCCCGUGAACCAGGGACCGGUGUGAACCCGGACCCGGCGCUGGAUUCAAGAACAGAUAGGCCCGACAGCGACCGGGAAAUGAGGUUGCUGGACUGUGAGAACGCCAGAGACAACGAUGGAAAUGAGUCCAGGAGCCAGCAGCGUGUUGCACCUACUGAUGUGUCUUGAAGUGCUCCGACUCUCCACUCGAGCAGAAGAAGAAGGAGCCACUCAUCCUCCUCAUAAUCUCAUUGCACCAAUGCAGCCGCCACAAAGGAAGUCACAGGAAACGGGGACCGAAAAGCACCUUCACAUGCACAAAUCUGAAGAUCAAUUAAAGCUAAUGCAGCUGGACGAGCCCGGCUCUCCAUACACAAGCAGCGUAUCCGAAACGCCCCCCCCCCCAGUGAGUCGGUGAAAGGGAGUGCGGGAUGAAUGGCCCACUUUAUUACCGCUUGCCAUGUGCAGUCAGAGAGCAGCACCAGGCCCAUUCUACAGCCCUCACAGCCUUUAUUAGCAGGCUUCAGGGGGGCUUGUAAAACUGUUCUGCCCUGCAUAACGGGGGGGGGGCUGCAUAACAAAAAUCAGCCUCGAAUUAAAGCCCAGCAAAGGACUGUGGGUGGGCUGGUCGUCCCCCUCCUCUCCCGCCCACUCCGAUGGGUGAUUCCCACCAUAGUUUUGGGUGUGACCCCGGCCGGGCCGCAGCUCCUCGGCUGACAGCUUCAGGGGCGAUGACGCUAACUCAUCACUUAAAUCCUCCGUCAUAAAAGAAGCCAUAUUUCCCUCAGGCGGCGGCGGUACGUGGCGGUAUUUGUCCAGUAUACUGCGGCGAGCUGCAGUGAACACAACAGGCCGUCAGGCCCCCGCUGAAGGCCGCGGGGCGUCGGAGCACAGGGCUCAACACGGAGGCGAAUGUGGCAUGAAAUCGGCCACAAAGAGGCCGACGGCGGGGAGCAGAUCACACACAGAGACGAGAUGUCUGUCCUGCCUUCUGUGGUGAAGACCUAAUCAGGAGGGUAACCUGAUCAGUCCUCAGACCUGUAGCCAGCAGGGACACGAGGUUUAUCUGCAGAGGCUGUUGCUGACGGAUAAAGCAGAGCCAUCCCAAGAUCCGUCGCGUCGCUUCUGUAACACUGUCAGACUCACGAUGGAGGCUUCUCACCUUUCUUUAUUCCGCCUGUUCUUCUUCACUGUCAAAACCUGGAGCCUACAUUACCCACGGUGCACCUUGACCUUGGGUCUGAGAUUGGGGUGUCUUAUGCUUGUAGCUGCUGAUGGAGGCUAGUGAUGUGCUACGACUAUUGUGGUGAAAACCAUCACAGUAAAGUGUGUUAUCCUGAUAAUCCUAAAACUGUCCUGACACACUACUGUUAAAUCUGAUAAAGUUACAGUGGACUGAACCAACAUCAGAUACACUAAAGUACUUUUUAACCUUGAAGGAGUAAAACUCUUCCCUAUUUCAGAGGGGAAUUU